UCUGCAUACUCCCAAGGUAUGACCUUUUGAACUAUUAUUUAGCUUCAUUUCAGCAGCUGUAUGUAGAAGUUGAAAAAAACCAAUUGUGUUAAAAAAAGUCUAAACUCUCAAAUAGCCCGCGAGCAAAACAUCACAGGCUUUGCUUCGCGUUGCCAGAUCCAUGUCAUGAGUGGUAUUUGUUUCCUUACUAGAAGUUCAGAGUUGAUUUAAAUUCUUGCCACCGGCCUUUGUGUCAGAGCUACAGUCACUGCAUUUGCCGGUGACACCACGCACUACUUGAAGUUGCUACCUUCUCUCCUUCAAGCUUGGCAUUAGUAGAUGCCUGCCUGAUCCAACAACCGAUGUUUUCUCUCUGAUGACUCUCCAAUCUGCAAAUUGAUUUUUGUCCCCUACUCAUGCUACACAUGGGUGGCACUUGGACCAUAGCCUGUCUGACAUGGAUGCACUCCCAUUUUUGUUCUGAAGAAUUUAGUAUUGGUGUUUUAUUCCAUAAAUUUCUAUUUUAAAAUUGUUGAUUCAAACUUGCUAGAUUUCCCGACGAUGCGUGGUAAAAUGUCUGCUAUCAACCAAAUUUGGAAAUCUUCAGAAGGUGAGGAUGUUUGUCUCUUCUGUAGCAUUUAGAAUAUUUGUUAGCUAGCUGUAGGUAUUUUUACAUGCUUCACCCAGUUAUUUUUCGGUAAUGAUUGCCAUGUUAAUUCGCUCUAUCUAAUUCUGUCAACUAGAUCAUGCACGGGUUCAAACAGGUUUAUGAAAUGGCUAUUAUUUUACUGAUAGCAACUCAGUAACUCGAGUAUAGCACCUACUGCAGUACUGCUAUGUUAUAGGCUUAUAUCAGAUAUAAGGACAAGCUGUUUUAUUUCAGGUGGUGACCCCCCUUUCCCCAACAAUUUCUGAUUGCAGUUUGUUUUUCGUUUGUCUCAUAUGACAUUCAUGUAAUAUUUCCGACAACACUUAGAAUAAAUUUAAGAGGGGGAACAAACUUUAUACACUAAGCAAUUUCGAUCAUCUAAGGGCUUGGCGCCUUUUGUUCAAGUUCGCGAGCUACUGC
rnacentral:lncRNA from 1 species